CAUCAAUCAAUCAAUUAUCAAUUAUGUAAUGUACGAUGAUGAUACAUACAUUUCCCGUUGGUUCAUCAUUAUCAUCAUCAUCAUCAACAUCAUCAUUAAUUGAACAA